GACUAUAGCUCAGUUGGCUAGAGUGUGGUGCUGAUAAUGCCAAGGUUGAAGGUUCGAUCCCUGUAUGGGACA